rnacentral:rRNA from 1 species
GGGGGAUAUUGCACAAUGGGCGAAAGCCUGAUGCAGCGACGCCGCGUGAGGGAAGACGGUCUUCGGAUUGUAAACCUCUGUCUUUGGGGACGAUAAUGACGGUACCCAAGGAGGAAGCCACGGCUAACUACGUGCCAGCAGCCGCGGUAAUACGUAGGUGGCGAGCGUUGUCCGGAAUUACUGGGUGUAAAGGGAGCGUAGGCGGGAAUGCAAGUUGAAUGUCAAAUCUAUCGGCUCAACCGAUAGCCGCGUUCAAAACUGCAUUUCUUGAGUGAAGUAGAGGUUGGCGGAAUUCCUAGUGUAGCGGUGAAAUGCGUAGAUAUUAGGAGGAACACCAGUGGCGAAGGCGGCCAACUGGGCUUUAACUGACGCUGAGGCUCGAAAGCGUGGGGAGCAAAC